rnacentral:rRNA from 1 species
AGCGAACGCUGGCGGCAGGCCUAACACAUGCAAGUCGAACGGACCCUUCGGGGUUAGUGGCGGACGGGGGAGUAACACGUGGGAACGUGCCUUUAGGUUCGGAAUAGCUCCUGGAAACGGGUGGUAAUGCCGAAUGUGCCCUUCGGGGGAAGGAUUUAUCGCCUUUAGAGCGGCCCGCGUCUGAUUAGCUAGUUGGUGAGGUAAUGGCUCACCAAGGCGACGAUCAGUAGCUGGUCUGAGAGGAUGACCAGCCACAUUGGGACUGAGACACGGCCCAAACUCCUACGGGAGGCAGCAGUGGGGAAUCUUGCGCAAUGGGCGAAAGCCUGACGCAGCCAUGCCGCGUGGAUGAUGAAGGUCUUAGGAUUGUAAAAUCCUUUCACCGGUGAAGAUAAUGACUGUAGCCGGAGAAGAAGCCCCGGCUAACUUCGUGCCAGCAGCCGCUGUAA